CCUACGGGAGGCAGCAGUGAGGAAUAUUGGUCAAUGGACGAGAGUCUGAACCAGCCAAGUAGCGUGAAGGAUGACUGCCCUAUGGGUUGUAAACUUCUUUUAUAUGGGAAUAAAACGUUCCACGUGUGGGAUUUUGUAUGUACCAUAUGAAUAAGGAUCGGCUAACUCCGUGCCAGCAGCCGCGGUAAUACGGAGGAUCCGAGCGUUAUCCGGAUUUAUUGGGUUUAAAGGGAGCGUAGGUGGAUUGUUAAGUCAGUUGUGAAAGUUUGCGGCUCAACCGUAAAAUUGCAGUUGAAACUGGCAGUCUUGAGUAUAGUAGAGGUGGGCGGAAUUCGUGGUGUAGCGGUGAAAUGCUUAGAUAUCACGAAGAACUCCGAUUGCGAAGGCAGUUCACUGGACUGCAACUGACACUGAGGCUCGAAAGUGUGGGUAUCAAACAGGAUUAGAUACCCCUGUUC
rnacentral:rRNA from 1 species